rnacentral:rRNA from 1 species
UAGGGAAUCUUCCGCAAUGGGCGAAAGCCUGACGGAGCAACGCCGCGUGAGUGAUGAAGGUCUUCGGAUCGUAAAACUCUGUUAUUAGGGAAGAACAAAUGUGUAAGUAACUAUGCACGUCUUGACGGUACCUAAUCAGAAAGCCACGGCUAACUACGUGCCAGCAGCCGCGGUAAUACGUAGGUGGCAAGCGUUAUCCGGAAUUAUUGGGCGUAAAGCGCGCGUAGGCGGUUUUUUAAGUCUGAUGUGAAAGCCCACGGCUCAACCGUGGAUGGUCAUUGGAAACUGGAAAACUUGAGUGCAGAAGAGGAAAGUGGAAUUCCAUGUGUAGCGGUGAAAUGCGCAGAGAUAUGGAGGAACACCAGUGGCGAAGGCGACUUUCUGGUCUGUAACUGACGCUGAUGUGCGAAAGCGUGGGGAUCAAACAGG